rnacentral:rRNA from 1 species
ACCUCGGAUCAGGUAGGAAUACCCGCUGAACUUAAGCAUAUCAAUAAGCGGAGGAAAAGAAACCAACAGGGAUUGCCCUAGUAACGGCGAGUGAAGCGGCAACAGCUCAAAUUUGAAAUCUGGCCUUCGGGUCCGAGUUGUAAUUUGUAGAGGAUGCUUUUGGUGAGGUACCUUCCGAGUUCCCUGGAACGGGACGCCAUAGAGGGUGAGAGCCCCGUCUGGUUGGAUACCGAUCCUCUGUAAAGCUCCUUCGACGAGUCGAGUAGUUUGGGAAUGCUGCUCUAAAUGGGAGGUAUAUGUCUUCUAAAGCUAAAUAUUGGCCAGAGACCGAUAGCGCACAAGUAGAGUGAUCGAAAGAUGAAAAGCACUUUGAAAAGAGAGUUAAAAAGUACGUGAAAUUGUUGAAAGGGAAGCGCUCAUGACCAGACUUGGGCUUGGUUGAUCAUCCAGGGUUCUCCCUGGUGCACUCUUCCAGCCCAGGCCAGCAUCAGUUCGCUGUGGGGGAUAAAGGCUUCGGGAAUGUGGCUCNUCCGGGAGUGUUAUAGCCCGCUGCGUAAUACCCUGUGGUGGACU